GAUAAACGCUGGCGGCGUGCCUAAUACAUGCAAGUCGAGCGAACGGACGAGAAGCUUGCUUCUCUGAUGUUAGCGGCGGACGGGUGAGUAACACGUGGAUAACCUACCUAUAAGACUGGGAUAACUUCGGGAAACCGGAGCUAAUACCGGAUAAUAUUUUGAACCGCAUGGUUCAAAAGUGAAAGACGGUCUUGCUGUCACUUAUAGAUGGAUCCGCGCCGCAUUAGCUAGUUGGUAAGGUAACGGCUUACCAAGGCAACGAUGCAUAGCCGACCUGAGAGGGUGAUCGGCCACACUGGAACUGAGACACGGUCCAGACUCCUACGGGAGGCAGCAGUAGGGAAUCUUCCGCAAUGGGCGAAAGCCUGACGGAGCAACGCCGCGUGAGUGAUGAAGGUCUUCGGAUCGUAAAACUCUGUUAUUAGGGAAGAACAUAUGUGUAAGUAACUGUGCACAUCUUGACGGUACCUAAUCAGAAAGCCACGGCUAACUACGUGCCAGCAGCCGCGGUAAUACGUAGGUGGCAAGCGUUAUCCGGAAUUAUUGGGCGUAAAGCGCGCGUAGGCGGCUUUUUAAGUCUGAUGUGAAAGCCCACGGCUCAACCGUGGAGGGUCAUUGGAAACUGGAAAACUUGAGUGCAGAAGAGGAAAGUGGAAUUCCAUGUGUAGCGGUGAAAUGCGCAGAGAUAUGGAGGAACACCAGUGGCGAAGGCGACUUUCUGGUCUGUAACUGACGCUGAUGUGCGAAAGCGUGGGGAUCAAACAGGAUUAGAUACCCUGGUAGUCCACGCUGUAAACGAUGAGUGCUAAGUGUUAGGGGGUUUCCGCCCCUUAGUGCUGCAGCUAACGCAUUAAGCACUCCGCCUGGGGAGUACGACCGCAAGGUUGAAACUCAAAGGAAUUGACGGGGACCCGCACAAGCGGUGGAGCAUGUGGUUUAAUUCGAAGCAACGCGAAGAACCUUACCAAAUCUUGACAUCCUUUGACAACUCUAGAGAUAGAGCCUUCCCCUUCGGGGGACAAAGUGACAGGUGGUGCGUGGUUGUCGUCAGCUCGUGUCGUGAGAUGUUGGGUUAAGUCCCGCAACGAGCGCAACCCUUAAGCUUAGUUGCCAUCAUUAAGUUGGGCACUCUAAGUUGACUGCCGGUGACAAACCGGAGGAAGGUGGGGAUGACGUCAAAUCAUCAUGCCCCUUAUGAUUUGGGCUACACACGUGCUACAAUGGACAAUACAAAGGGCAGCGAAACCGCGAGGUCAAGCAAAUCCCAUAAAGUUGUUCUCAGUUCGGAUUGUAGUCUGCAACUCGACUACAUGAAGCUGGAAUCGCUAGUAAUCGUAGAUCAGCAUGCUACGGUGAAUACGUUCCCGGGUCU
rnacentral:rRNA from 1 species